GAAAGAAAAUUCUUCGUGUAGAUAGCAAGCAAACAAUAACUAAUAAAAAAAGAAAGAGUACUAUUAUUGAGAGGUCAACGCUCAAAACCCAUUCUCAACAGCAGCAACAAAAACAGACUUAAAUUAAUUUCGAUUCAAGUGUAACCCCCUUGCGGCUGUGAAUAAAGUUUCUGUCUCGAAAAUGAACGUGAUGUUUUGGAAUUUAAAAUAAAAAUAUCAAAUCUUCACAUAAUUAAUUUUGAUAAUUUUAUUGAUUUGGAUAAAAUUAUGUCUUAUGUCAUUUCAUGAUUAAGGAACAUCUCUUUCUACGCUGUAGAAAAGUAGCCAAUAUUCCAAAUUUAAUUUGCCACUUUCCUUUGGCGCAUUUGUCUUCGGUUGCGUAGAAAUAACAUUGGCUAAAGAUAUUGACCUGGGCGCAUUGCCAAUGGUUGGCAAGGAAUGCAACCGUGAAAUGUAGAACUAUCAAGUGCGCGAAAGGAAAGGAAAUAGCUAACAGAAUCAUCAACAACUUAGAAAAUUAAAAACACGAGCUGGUUCGAUGACUUUUUUGUUUUUUAUUUUUUAUGUUUGAAUAUUAGUGAAAAUAAUGAAACAAUUUAUUCAUGUUUCCGUUUCACAUGUUUAAAUGAUUAUAAUAAAACUUGUUGCCAGUUGUCCUACCAACAUCCAGACGAAUUAACAAUCCUACGGAGAAAGAAUUUCAAGGACACGCUACACAUGCAAACGCCAAUCAAAAGUCAUUGAACUGGAGGUGGAUUCAAAUUUUAUGCGAUCCAGCACGCCACACCUUAAGGAGGUGGCCCCAGCUAGGCUGUGGUAUGGCUGCUGGCGAUUAAAUCUCACCGCCAUAUGAUUAACAACUUUUUGUUGCCCGACAGACCCGUUACACAGCAUGAAAUGCAACUGUUCAACAAAGCGGAAAUGACACGGCAAUUUAUUGCAUUUCAAAAAACCAUCGCGGUGAUUCACAAUAUUUGUUGCUUUAGUUGGGCGAACUGCUGCAGAAAUUCCAUUUCCAACGGAUGAAGCUGCCCAUUGGGAAUGAUAAGCGAAUGUAACGGUGGUCCUAGGUCGACGUUUUUCAUUUCGCUAAGCGAACAUGCUAGAAUUUGCUG